UACGGAGGAUGCGAGCGUUAUCCGGAUUUAUUGGGUUUAAAGGGUGCGCAGGCGGCGUGUCAAGUCAGCGGUAAAAUGUCGGGGCUCAACCCCGGACGGCCGUUGAAACUGGUGGUCUUGAGUGGAUGAGAAGUACGCGGAAUGCGUGGUGUAGCGGUGAAAUGCAUAGAUAUCACGCAGAACUCCGAUUGCGAAGGCAGCGUACCGGCAUCCAACUGACGCUGAGGCACGAAAGCGUGGGGAUCAAACAGG
rnacentral:rRNA from 1 species